GUUCUGGAGAGUGGGAGGCCUAGGACUCCAGUUUCUGCUGAGCCACUGACUUGCUGGGUGAAAUUAGCUUUUCUGGGCCUCUGUUUCCCUAGCUGUGCCUCACUUUCUCAGCUGCAAAAUUAGGGAGGCAGAGUAGAUGAGUGUCAAGAGUUUUUGUAGUUCUGACUUUUCAUAAUUCUGUGAUCACAGGGAGGAAACGGAAGGGCUGGGGGUGGGUUGGAGGUGGGUAAUUGACACAAUGCUCCCCGUUGAUUCACCAUCGGUCGCUAGGCAGCCUCUUUUCUGCCUCCAGGAUCCCUUCUGCCCUCCGUUUCUCCUCCUCUCCUUUCCACCUGACUUUGAGGCCUUCUUGUGAUGAGAUCGAGAAGCUGUUUGAUGUAGAUUUGUCUUAUCCCAUCUUUUGCCCCCCAGAGGAGGGGGCUGUGCACAGAGCAGGAAGGGAGUCAGGAGACAAAAGGGAGAGGAAAAUUAAGAGACAAGAGUGGGAUGCACAGAAGUGUCAGAAGAGAGCUCAGUGAGAGCUGAGCAGAAGGAAAAGGGAAAGGAGACAUGGUGAAAGAGGGGAAGUAGAAGGGAGAGGAGCUAAAAGUGAGAGAAAUGAAGCCCCCAUGAGACGGGGAAAGAGAAGUUAUGAAUGGAAGAGAAAAACAGGAAGAGACCGUGGGAGAAGACCACAGCCUGGGCCAACACACACAUGUGGGGACAUCUCUGGCUACUCUAGGACAACAAACAGGUCAGAGAGCUGCAAACGCCAGAGGUCAUACUUCUGCCAAAAGGGACCACCCUUUCCAAGGGCCACAGCCAGUUCACGUGGGACAUGGGAGCUCCGGAGAUCUAUAGGGACAGGUGAACACUUGUAAAGUGCUCCAUCUUUGAAGAUUGGUGGACAGUUUGUGGCGGAUCUGAAGCUCCUGUCUUUGACCUGGCAUAUGAGAGGAGUAGCUCUGAGCAAUCUUAACAAGUGACUUCAGGCUCUUGCUUUUGAGCUGGGGGUGGCCCAGUCUGCCGUCCAGAGUCCGCUCUCUCCUUUCCCAAAUAUCUCUACAAAAGAGAAUGCUGUAGCAUGGCCUAGUGUGGAGCAUAUGACUCUGGAGUCGGACAUCCUUGGCCUUGGUACUCAGCUCUGCUACCUCUUAGGUUUGGAACACCGAGUAAAUUAGAGAUAGAGACAGCCAGCGAGAGAGGGAACACAAGCAGGGGGAGUGGGAGAGGAAGAAGC